UUCCUUCCUUUCUAGUUUGGAUCAACACUUCCGGAACACUUUCAUAUCAGUGGAGGCGAACUGAACAGGGUUCUGGGAGGCAUAGCUUGACAUAACCUUAGCCAAAUUGACAUCUCGACCUUGUUUCUGGCGUAAUUGUUACUACACAAACGGGAAAUAAAUGACUAAAUGCACUCAGGAUCACAUUGAAAGAUACCUGUGAAAGCUCUUGCUUCCCACCCAAAUGUCAAGGUCACAGUGACCGGGGCGGGCGGAGGCAGAGCCGUUGCCCCGGCCCCUUUGCCCAGCUGCAGAGCAGCCCCUGUCAGGGAGCACAUCCUCCCAUUCCAGUCCUCUGGGUGGCACCUCGAGCCAUGGAGCACUCACGGGAGAAAGAGAGUGAGAGACCUGCACGCAGCAACAAGGCAGGUCAGGGGCGCAGCGGGCACUCGCGCCCCUCGGGAUCAGGCUCCUCCGGAGUGCUCAUGGUGGGGCCCAACUUCCGUGUGGGCAAGAAGAUCGGCUGUGGUAACUUUGGAGAGCUGAAGUUAGGUAAAAAUCUCUACACCAAUGAAUAUGUUGCAAUAAAAUUGGAACCAAUCAAAUCAAGGGCACCACAGCUGCAUUUGGAGUACCGGUUUUACAAAACAUUAGGCAGCACAGCGGAGGGUCUUCCUCAGGUCUUCUACUUUGGGCCAUGUGGGAAAUACAAUGCCAUGGUUUUGGAGCUGCUGGGUCCCAGUCUAGAAGACCUCUUUGACCUCUGUGACAGGACCUUCUCUCUUAAGACUGUUUUGAUGAUGGCUAUUCAGCUGCUCUCCCGGAUGGAGUACGUCCACUCCAAGAACCUCAUCUACCGAGACGUGAAGCCAGAGAACUUCCUCAUCGGGCGGCAGGGGCACAAGCAGGAGCACAUCAUCCACAUAAUCGACUUUGGCCUGGCCAAAGAGUACAUCGACCCCGAGACCAAAAAACACAUCCCCUACAGGGAACACAAGAGCCUCACAGGGACCGCCCGCUACAUGUCUAUUAACACCCACUUAGGAAAAGAGCAAAGUCGACGAGAUGACCUGGAAGCCCUGGGCCACAUGUUCAUGUAUUUCCUACGAGGGAGUCUGCCGUGGCAAGGACUCAAGGCUGACACCCUGAAAGAGCGAUACCAGAAGAUUGGCGACACCAAGCGCAACACUCCCAUCGAGGUCCUCUGUGAAAGCUUUCCAGAAGAGAUGGCCACCUACCUGCGCUACGUGCGGCGAUUGGACUUCUUUGAGAAGCCCGACUACGAGUAUUUGAGGACUCUGUUUACCGAGCUGCUUGAGCGUAAAGGAUACACUUUUGACUACACCUACGACUGGGAUGGCAGACCGAUUCCUACUCCAGUGGGGGCUGUCAACGUGGACUCGGGUGCGUCUGCCAUCACGAGAGAAAGCAAUGCUAACAGAGACAGGCCCUCUCAGCAACAACCCCUACGGAACCAGACGGCAGCAUCAGACCGCAGAGGGGCAUGGGAUGCACAGCCCCACCGACAGACAAACUCCUCCUACCUGAGCAGCUCCCACCUGGCCGCAGACAGGCAUGGGGGCUCUGUGCAGGUGGUCAGCUCCACCAAUGGGGAACUGAAUGCCGAUGACCCAAUGACGGCCCACUCCAACGCACCUAUCGCAGCGCAGGCCGACGUGGAGGUGGUGGAUGAGGCCAAGUACGCUUCUGCCGCUUUUUCUUCCGUCAUAGCUAGCUCGCUCUCUCCCCAUUUUUGCUUGGUCAUCUGUCCCUUUCGAAAGCACUUCGUUUUUUAGUUGUAAUCAAAUCAAAUGUUAUUUGUCACAUUCUUUGUAAACAAGUACGGACUAACAGUGAAAUGCUUACUUUCGGGCCGUUCCCGACAAUGCAGAGAGAAAGAAAAGAGAAAUGAUAGAAAAGUAAAACACUGAAUAAUAUGCUAAACGAAAAUAUAAACAUGCAACAAUUUCUAUGAUUUUACUGAGACACAAUUCAUAUAAGGAAAACAGUAAAUGGAAAUAAAUGUAUUCGGCCCUGACCUAUGGAUUUCACAUGAAUGGGAAUACAGAACUUUUUUUUAAAUUAAAAAAAUGAAAGUAGGUGCGUGGAUCAGGAAGGUAGUCACUAUCUGGUAUGACCACCAUUUGCGGCACGACAUAUCUCUUUCGCAUAGAGUUGAUCAGGCUGUUGAUUGUGGCCUGUGGAAUGUUGUCCCACUCCUCUUCAAUGACUGUGUGAAGUUGCUGAAUAUUGACAGGAAACAUAUUGUCAGAAACAUGCUCAAUGGGUGACAUGUCUGGUGAGUAUGGAAGCCAUGUAAGAACAGGGACAUUUUCAGCUUCCAGUAAUUGUGUACAGAUCCUUGCGACAUGGGGCCGUGCGUUAUCAUGCUGAAACAUGAGGCGAUAGAAGUGGAUGAAUGGGAUGACAACGAGCCUCAGGAUCUCAUCACGGUUUCUCUGUGCAUUCAAAUUGCCGUCGCUAAAAUGCUAAUUUGUUUGUUGUCCAUAGUUUAUGCCUGCCCGUACCAUAACCCCACUGCCACCAUGGGUCCCUCUGUUCACAACGUUGACAUCAGCAAACUGCUCACACACACACACGACACCGUACACGCGGUCUGCACUUGAGGCCGUUUGGAUGUAGCAGUAGCAUAUGUGAUGAGUAAAAUAAAGUUAGUGCAAUGCUGAUAGUCCAGUUAGCUAUUUAACUAUUUAGCUGUCUUAUGGCUUGGGGAUAAAACUAUUCAGGGUCCUGUUGGUUCCAUACUCCGUGCAUCGUUACCGCUUACCGUGCGGUAGCAGAGAGAACAGUCUAUUGCGGGUGGCUGAAGUCUUCAACAAUUCUUAGGGCCUUCCUCUGUCACCGCCUGUUGUAGAGGUCCUGGAUAGCAGGGAGCUCUGCCCCAGUGAUGUACUGGGCCGUAUGCACUACCCUCUGUGCAGCGCCUUGCUGUCAGAUGCCAAGUAGUUGACCAAGUGGGGAUGCAGCCAGUCAAGAUGCUCUCAGUUGUGAUGCUGUAGACAUUGUUGAGGAUCGGAGGGCCCAAGCCAAAUCUGUUCAGCCUCCUGAGGGGGAAGAGGCAUUAUUGUGCACUCCUCAUGACUGCGUUUGUGUGUUUGGACCAUAAUAGAUCCUUAGUGAUGUGGAAACUGAGGAACUUGAAGCUCUCGACUCUCUUCACGUCAGCCCUGUCAACGUGAAUGGGGGCAUGCUCGACCUUCUAUUUCCUGUAAUCCAUGAUCAGCUCCUUUGUCUUGCUGAUGUUGAGGAAGAGGGUGUCCUGGCACCACACUGCCAGGUCUCUGACAUCUCUAUAGGCUGUCUCGUGGUUGUAGGUGAUAAGGCCUACCACCUUCUGCAAACUUAAUGAUGGUAAUGGAGUCAUGCGUGGCCAUGCAUUCGUGGGUGAACAGGGAGUACAGGAGGGAACUAAGCACACAACCCUGAGGGGCCCCUGUGUUGAAGGUCAAUGUGUUGUUGCCUACCAUCACCGCCUAGGUGCGUCCCGUCAGGCAGUCCAGGAUCCAGUUGCAGAUGAAGGCCAUGUCCAGGCUUUCAAAGCUACAGAUGAGUGCUACGGGUCAAUAGUCAUUUAGACAGGUUACCUUGACGUUCUUGGGCACAGGGACUAUAGUGGUCUGCUUGAAACAUGUAGGUAUUACAGACUGGGUCAGGGAGAGGUUAAAAAUGUCAGUGAAGACGUUGAAGAAAUGUAUCGGAAGACAAUUUAUGACAGUGGUAUUUUGGAUAAUUUCUUUAUUAUAACUCUUGCUCAGUCCAUGAGACUGACUAACUCUCCAAUUCCAACCAGUUUGAAGUACCGUGAAAGCGUAUUAGAUACAAGAAAUCAAACUGCCUGAGCUAGGAUAAAAUCAUGUCCAAACAAGUUGUCUCUUGUGGCAGGAACCUGUCAGAACCGGGUGGUGAACUGAUAAUCUGCAAAAAAACAUAUUUUGGUUCAGUUCCAAUUAUGAUAUGGGGCAAAAUUCUUACAAUUUCUGAUUAUCUGAAUUAUUUGAAUCUAAAAAUAUACUUUCUAGCUAAAAUAACAAAAUUCCACUCAUACUUUCACCUUUCUGUCUUUGUUUUAGUUUCCCUUGCAUGAACUGCGAUGAUUGUCCUUAGCCACACUGUGUGUGUGUGUGUGUGUGUGUGCAUCCAUGUGGUUCUACCUUGCACAAGGACUAUCUUGCAUCGUUGUCUCGAUCUCUGUACAGUAUUAAUCUGUCUUUUCUCCUCACACUCUCUCUGUAGCUGCGUGAAAAUGCUCAACCUGUGGUGUUGUUGCUUCUUCAAGAGAAAACGGAAGAACACUCCACGGCAGAAAUAAUCUCCUGCUACCCUGUCCGGUGUCGCUGAGCGAGUUUAGUUUUAAGGAAACUAACGAAGGGACAUUUCUGGGAGGGAGUUGGGAGAGAGACUUGUUAUUACAAGAGAAAUGGGAUUCUUACUGACCUGGACCUACUGAAUGGAACUACUAUACACAUGAAGACCUUGGCCACAAAGUAUUUUCUUUUCUUUCCUUCUCGGUGGAUGAAUGACUAAAUUUGACUUUUGACCUUUCCUCUGAAUACUGGAGGAUGCCUGAGGACGUCUCUUCAUCUGCCCCAGUUUGUUUUUUUGUUUUUUUCAAGUGGAGAUCAAAAGUCAAGUCUUCCCCUCUCCAUCUCUCUUUUUGGGUGUGAGACCUGUCUAGCAGUCUAUAGACCUCUACCACCUUUCUUUCUUGUGUCUCUCCUCUUUCUCUCUCUCCAAACCCACUCACCUCCACAGUAAAAGCCGGUCUUAAGCUGUCCCAUUUGCUUUUUAUUCAUACAAAGUUAUGUCUACAUGUGUAGGUGUGGAUGUUUGUUUGAAUGUGUGAAUGUGCCCUAAUGGCUAAUUGGUUCAUAUGCCACGAAGCUCCUCCCACUAAGCCCUGUUUGACUGUCUUUUGAAGAAGGCAUUAUAGAUGAUGCUUCCUAGUCCUGAAGUAACCUUGCUUCAACCCUAGACACCUCCAUGGUCCCUUGUAGAUCUGCAAAGAUGCCACAGGUUCUUUCAAAUCUAUCAAGAAUGGUCUGCAGGUUGAUUUGGGAUUGGCAUAAGUAGUCAAAGCAGAAAGAAAUGGUAGAAAAGGAGGGAACACCAAAAUAAUCACUUUUCUAACGCAUCCUUGCCAGAAAAAAAACCUGAGUACCAAUUCACCUCUCAACAAUCACUAGAUUUGCCUUCUGCCUCCAUAUUUGUGUUAAAAACAAUUGUGCUAAUUUCAAUGAUAUGCAAGGAAAAUGUUAGACCGCAGCGAAUGACCAAAGGGAUGUGUGUGGACAGAGGACCUAUUAUGUUACCAGAUUUAGAUUUAACUGAAAAGUAUUUGUAUUCCAGAUCCAUGUUUGAUGCACUGGUCAUUAUUACCCAACCACUCCUUUUCAGCUUUUCAAUUUCAGGCCCCAAAAAAAAUGUUUUUUUGUGGGGGGGAAUCACCAAUAGAUCUGUUAUGAGUUGCAUUUCACAUUGCUUUUGCUAACAUUGCCAGUACCUGUAAACUGGUCCCUGUUAUCCACAAACACCUAACUUUGUGUCUGUGCGGAUUUAGGAAAAAAAAAGUUACUUUCAACUGCUGAUCUAUGGUCAGUUGUAGAUUUUUUUUUUUUUUACCUCCCAAUGUUUAAAGCGAGGAUUGGGCUAUCAUGAACUGACACCAGGUGUACACUUUUGGGUGGCUUCUACCUCCAGUCUGUCUGUCUGUGUACUGAAUCUGGGACAAGGAGAACAGACUUGGCUCUCCUAUUGAUUUAGAUGCUACUGCUCCUCCUGCUGGCCUUACCAUGUAAUGCCUUAAUCAAACCACCUCUCUUCAGAGCCUAUCAGUAUAGGCAUCUGUUCACUGCAACAACACACCAGCCAAUAAGAAGACAUGUUGACAAGUCUGGUUCCUAUAGAGCAGUGUUGCUCAACUGGAUUCCUGGGGUACCUUAUGGUGUUGAAUAUUUUUGUUCUAGCCCAGCCGGAACACCUGAAUCAACUAAUUACAGGUUUAAUGAUUAGUUGAGUAUUAUUUUUGAAUCAGGUGUGUUUGCUGGGAUAGAACAAAAAAAUGGAGCUGUGCUGCGGUGUCGACGCUCAAGACCUGGACUUGGUCUCCUGGAGGGAGACUAAACAGCUGCCUCAAUGCCCCUUAGAGGUGACAAUUAUUUAGCCUGUGGAAAUGGUUGCGUUUUAGGAGAUGACACUGGUCUCUCACUUUAAAUCAAUUUUAGUGCAGACAAGUUUGAGAAAGCAGAAUUUGAAGAUUUCAAAUACAGGAACAGUUUUAUGUGACUCGUGACAAAUCAUCUAAGGUCAUCAGAGUAAAAGGAAGUGAAGGACCUUUUUUAUUUUAUUUCUUCAGAUAUGCUUAUUUGUGUUCCUCUGCAGUCAAAACAUUUGAGGUUGUGAAAUGCUACAUUUUACAAUAAUAUUCUACCCUUUUGGUAAACCUCAGUGUUUACUCCGGAGUGGUUAUCUUGUCUGUUUUCAAUUUAUUUUGUUUUGUGUUGUCAAUGUGAACUGAAAAUGUAUGAUGUCCUGUAAUUUGUAUUUUUUUAAUCAUUAAAUGAUCUUGCUUUUUCAUGGGGGGGGCGGAGUAUUUAAACAGCGAUUGAGUGCACUACUUAUUUUGUACCUACUGUUGGAAGGUUAGAAUGCCAGCCUCGCUCUCUACCAUCUAGAUACUAUCCACUGUUUCACUUGUGUAUUAUGGAAAUGGUGGAAAGAACUCUGUGGCUUUGAGUCGAGGCUGGAGGAAUUGUCAAUUUCCUUAUGCUUCUAUUGAAUAACUCCCUUGUACACAGACACACAGGCUUGUGUGAUACUGUAUGAUACGUUUUUAUCUUUGGAGUCAGUUCCCUAGCUGUCUUUUAUAGGGAUAGACAAACAGAAGUUAUGUAUAUUUUUGAGUAACAAAGCAGUUUUUUUUUUAAACUGUGUGCAAAUGUCGUAUUCUUCCUUGAAAGUGUAUGUCUUGAGUAAGUAUCUCAGCAGUUUAAAUUAUUUCAAAUGUACUUGAAUUGAAAGAUGUGGGACGAGUCUUAGUCAAGUAGUGGAAUGUCAGGAUUUACUCAAAUGCCAUUCUGACUAAAUUAUGUGCUUGUGAGUGAUCUUAAUUCAUGGAUUGGUCAGUUGAUUCACCCACCUAUCAUUCAGACUUUUAGACAUCGCUGCUGACCACACCAGGAUAAUUGUGAAGUGGGUAAAAGGCUUAGGCUGUUGUCAUGUGGUGUCGCUCUCCUUCUCUUGCUCUCUCCUUUCCUCUCCUUCACCUUGUUCUUUUUGUUGGCUUGCUCCCUUCCUUGAAGUACUUAGUGAUAUAACGUGACAGUUGAAAGAAAUGGCUUUUCUAGUCAUGUCCAAUCAGUGAUUACUUGAAGGAAGAGAGAAAGGGCUGUAUUUAUCCCAGCCCUUUAAACUUUCUAUGACACUGGUGCAGCAAUAUUAUCAUUGUGGUUAGAGGUAGGUUUAAAAUUAAUUUAAGAACAUAAAUUGUAGAAGUCGGGGUGUUGAUGACUUCGUGGCUAGGGUAACUAGUGAAGACCAGAGGACUUUUACUAGCUUAUUCACCGGAGUCCCACACGCUCCCUGAUGGCAGUAUAUAUUUGCCCAUGCAGCCUUCUGAUCCCACUGGGGGUAAUUUUGACGCUGCACAUUCCUUUUCCUCCAUGACAUGUUAACACAACCUCCUCCGAUGGCAGGGUUUGUUUGAGAUGUCACUCACUGUAUCAGGAUGCGCUGACUAUGAAUAUGUAUACCUCAGAGAAAAGCCAUUACUGUCUCAAGUUCGCACACAUACUUUUUGUUCUCUCAUCCGUCUUUGCCCCCCAGUGCCAGCUUCAUGACCUCUAACCUUCCUCUGGUGGCAAGGGUGCUGAAAAGUUAACAUGUUGUAGACAUGAGCCCUAUUCUCUGCUCUUAAGAUGGUGCCAUUUUAGACACUGGCAUUUGGUGGGUUAGCUGUAUCAUUACAAGUGCAUUUGGAGAAACCAUUCAGAAAUAUAGUUUUUUGCCAUGUUAUUGCUUACCUGCUGUCUUCCCAGGCCGUGCUUGUGUAACAACCAUACCAUCUCAGAAUUGGUAUGGUUGCGUAUUUCUGACAUUACAUAAAAGGUCUUAUUUUGCUUUAGAUCAUUUACGUGACUAAGAAUUCAUGAGGCUUCUACUAUUGUAAUAUUGCUUAUGAUUACAGAUUAUAAUUUCUUUCAUUAAGUAUUCUUGACCUUUUCUUGCUUGAUCCCAACAACCAAAGUUAUUGUUUUGGCAUCCUUGUUUUCUUGUCAUUGUACUUCCUUUUUAUUAAUGGAACCACUUACUUUAAUACAUACUUGAAAUGGUUUGCCACAGUUUGUGCAACAUGUACAUAUGUACAGUCACCUCUAAAUGAACUAGAUGCUACGGGGGGAGGCAUGACUUUGUACGCUAACCAUCCGCAACUAGAAGACGACACUGAGUCAGAUGGCUUUGACCAGUUGUAUCCUCGUCAUGCCUUCUGCAUCUAGGGGUAGAUUAAUUCAACCAGAGGUUUUCUCAUUGGCUUUAAGCACAAUUAUUAUUGUACUGGUAUGCUUUGUGUAUUUAAAGAAAACUAUCUUGCUUGAAUGAAAUGGGUCCAUCGGGGCCUUAUAACGACCAUUUUCAUCGUUGCUGGUUCCUUUUUCAUUCUCACUUGUCGUUCCAGACAAUCUCUCCACUUCCUCAGUGUUGGAGAGACCAUUUAUCGAUGGUUGCUUGCAUUUGUCCACAGAAAUGUGUAGGGCACGAGCUGCAAAGACUGCUCAAGUGAGGUAGACUUUUUCCGACAUUACAUUCAGAGUUGCUUAAACUGUAGACCUCCAGUGGUUAGAGACAAGACUGCAAUAUUGUACUGAUUAUUUUCAAUUGUAAAUUAUGUAAAGUUGAUUAUGUUCAAAUGGGAGUCUAUUUUCUUGAUCCAUUUUUCUUUUCUCCCUCUUCAAAGCUGUCUCCUGUUCUGGUAAUAGUUUCAAAGCUAUGAAUAUGAGUCAAGUAUUACAAUUGUAUUAUGAAUAUUACUGUUGAAACAUGAAUGUUACUUCAAAAUGUAUUUGAAUGCUUUAACCUGGUUAAGGGCUCCAAUUGUGAAAAAACCCUUUUUUUUCUCCUUUUUUUUUUACCCAGAAAGAAACGCGGUCUCGACUCUUUCUGUCUUAAAAUGCCUACCCCCCCUCGCCCCCAGAAACCUCAAGUGAAAUGUGUCUUGGGACCUUUCCAAAAUCAUACUUUUUAUUCCCUCCUAACUUAAAGGGAAAAUCAAGUUUGCACCCUUUUUUAUGUAAAAUAAAUCUCUCUUAACCUUUA